GGGGCAUUCCAGGGCAGAAUUCCUCUAAGUGGCUGGUAGGACUGAUGACACGAUUGGGGCAGAUGUCUGUGAUCAGCGAAGCUGCCCAUGUAGCCUUCUAGAAAACAUUCAGGGCUGCUCUGUAGGCUCCUAGAUAUUCUGUCCUACAUACAUUUAUUGCUUGUGUCUAGAGCCUGUAGAACUUUAAUUUCUGCUACUAAAAUUCCAACACCUUCAAAAUUUCUGGGUCCCAUCAGCAAAGAAGCAGUGGAACCAUUUCUACAGCCACCAACACUCAAUUCAUGAGGGCCUGUAUGGAUGCCAGAGUACCCUGACCAUAGGACCGAAACAUUGUGGCUAGGUUUCUGGAUCACUUCUGCCUUCCUUAGGAAUUGUUUUAUGUGGCCCUGCAGAGUACGGUACGAGGGCCGCUGGCUUGUACGGUCCUGCACAGCAAGGCCCGGGCGCCCACGAGCCAAGGUACAUCACCUGAAACAGAUCAAAUGUAAGAUGAAGAAAUAACCUCUCAUUCAUUGACGGGUGAACAAAGAGAAAGGACACACUAAGACUCCGGUUCAUCUCUAGUCCCAGGGAUUUGACUCGUCUAAUUCAAGCUUUAUUUGGAUAGAUGAAUUCAAAAUGCUGUUUUCUAAUGAGAUGAAAAGCUGCUAAUGAUACCAAAUAAGAAAAUACCAAAGAAAAGUAUAGCUUUUAAGAGGUGAGAUCGUGAGAGUUUACCCACAAAGGAAUA
rnacentral:lncRNA from 1 species